AGAGUUUGAUCAUGGCUCAGGACGAACGCUGGCGGCGUGCUUAACACAUGCAAGUCGAACGGAAAGGCCCUUCGGGGUACUCGAGUGGCGAACGGGUGAGUAACACGUGGGUGAUCUGCCCUGCACUUUGGGAUAAGCCUGGGAAACUGGGUCUAAUACCGAAUAGGACCACGCGCUUCAUGGUGUGUGGUGGAAAGCUUUUGCGGUGUGGGAUGGGCCCGCGGCCUAUCAGCUUGUUGGUGGGGUAAUGGCCUACCAAGGCGACGACGGGUAGCCGGCCUGAGAGGGUGACCGGCCACACUGGGACUGAGAUACGGCCCAGACUCCUACGGGAGGCAGCAGUGGGGAAUAUUGCACAAUGGGCGCAAGCCUGAUGCAGCGACGCCGCGUGAGGGAUGACGGCCUUCGGGUUGUAAACCUCUUUCACCAGGGACGAAGCGCAAGUGACGGUACCUGGAGAAGAAGCACCGGCCAACUACGUGCCAGCAGCCGCGGUAAUACGUAGGGUGCGAGCGUUGUCCGGAAUUACUGGGCGUAAAGAGCUCGUAGGUGGUUUGUCGCGUUGUUCGUGAAAACUCACAGCUUAACUGUGGGCGUGCGGGCGAUACGGGCAGACUAGAGUACUGCAGGGGAGACUGGAAUUCCUGGUGUAGCGGUGGAAUGCGCAGAUAUCAGGAGGAACACCGGUGGCGAAGGCGGGUCUCUGGGCAGUAACUGACGCUGAAGAGCGAAAGCGUGGGGAGCGAACAGGAUUAGAUACCCCGGUAGUCCAA
rnacentral:rRNA from 1 species